GAUGAACGCUGGCGGCGUGCCUAAUACAUCCAAGUCGAGCGAACAGACGAGGAGCUUGCGCCGCUGACGUUAGCGGCGGACGGGAGAGUAACGCGUGGAUAACCUACCUAUAAGACUGGGAUAACUUCGGAAAACCGGAUCUAAUACCGGAGAAUAUAUUGAACCGCAGGGGGCAAUAGUGAGAGACGGUUUUGGUGUCACUUAUAGAUGGAUCCGCGCCGCAUUAGCUAGUUGGGAAGGUAACGGCUUACCAAGGCGACGAGGCGGAGCCGACCUGAGAGGGUGAUCGGCCACACUGGAACUGAGACACGGUCCAGACUCCUACGGGAGGCAGCAGUCGGGAAUCUUCCGCAAUGGGCGAAAGCCUGACGGAGCAACGCCGCGUGAGUGAUGAAGGUCUUCGGAUCGUAAAGCUCUGUUAUUAGGGAAGAACAAAUGUGUACGUAACUAUGCACGUCUUGACGGUACCUAAUCAGAAAGCCACGGCUAACUACGUG
rnacentral:rRNA from 1 species